rnacentral:rRNA from 1 species
AUUGAACGCUGGCGGCAGGCCUAACACAUGCAAGUCGAACGGUAACAGGAAGCAGCUUGCUGCUUUGCUGACGAGUGGCGGACGGGUGAGAAAUGUCUGGGAAACUGCCUGAUGGAGGGGGAUAACUACUGGAAACGGUAGCUAAUACCGCAUAACGUCGCAAGACCAAAGAGGGGGACCUUAGGGCCUCUUGCCAUCGGAUGUGCCCAGAUGGGAUUAGCUAGUAGGUGGGGUAACGGCUCACCUAGGCGACGAUCCCUAGCUGGUCUGAGAGGAUGACCAGCCACACUGGAACUGAGACACGGUCCAGACUCCUACGGGAGGCAGCAGUGGGGAAUAUUGCACAAUGGGCGCAAGCCUGAUGCAGCCAUGCCGCGUGUAUGAAGAAGGCCUUCGGGUUGUAAAGUACUUUCAGCGGGGAGGAAGGGAGUAAAGUUAAUACCUUUGCUCAUUGACGUUACCCGCAGAAGAAGCACCGGCUAACUCCGUG